rnacentral:tRNA from 1 species
GGGUUUAUAUAACUAUAUAUGGCUAGGUAUCACUUCACAAAAGGGACUCAUAACGGAGUUGUCGCAGGUUCAAAUCCUGCUUGACCCACCA